GACCUGGCUGGGCGGUCUUGCCGAAAGGUAAGCACUGCUCUGGUCGGGUCUUUCCUUCUGGGGAACCAGCGUGCGCUUAAUUGAGUGCGCUGGGGAUCCAGGACUUUUACUUUGAAAAAAUUAGAGUGUUCAAAGCAGGCUUAUGUCUGAAUACAUUAGCAUGGAAUAAUAGAAUAGGAC
rnacentral:rRNA from 1 species